rnacentral:tRNA from 1 species
GUACCCGUAGCUCAGUUGGAUAGAGUGUCUCCCUCCGAAGGAGAAGGUCGUUGGUUCGAAUCCAAUCGGGUGCACCA